AUGGGGAAAACAAAUGUAAAUCCUAUUUGGAGAAAGGUUUGGAAAUUAUCUUGUCCAACAAAGGUGAAGAUUUUCAUAUGGCGUACCUUGCACGGAACACUCCCAUGUCGUGUUACACUUGCUAAUAGACAUAUGAAAAUUUCUCCCAUCUGCCCAUCAUGUUCGAAUGGACCAGAAGAUACAGAACACAUGUUGUUUCUAUGUUGGAAGGCAAAAGAAGUUUGGAGAAAGCUGGGAAGUCAUGAGGCCAUCAGUAAAGCUUGUGUUAUCGAUCGUGCGGGAGUGGCAGUUCUUGAGUUUUUACUUCUUAUGCCAGAGAAAGAGCUAUCUACAGUAGGCACCCAGAAUGCACAUGAAUUGAUUGUUGUAACAGCCUGGUAUUUAUGAUGGAAUAGAUGGUCGCUAGUUCAUCAGGGAAAAUCCCAAGAUGCUUGCCAAACCUCGAUGGGAGUCCGUGCUAUAGCGGCAAAUUAUGUUUUAUGA
rnacentral:rRNA from 1 species